GUGGGUGGUGCGCCUGGGUGUGGGACGUGCACCUAGAGGGGCCCAUAGGUGUGGAUCUGGCGGUGAAUUGAAGGGAGGGACUAGCAGGAGUAGAAGCGGGCGGUAUGGUUGGCGUUGACGACGAGGAGGAGGAGAAGGAAGAAGGUGGGGAGGGGAGGAGGGUAUUCCUUUCAAGAUGUAUUAAAAAACACACUAACAAAAUAAAUUCAACAUAGCAAUGCACGGUCAUCUUGCUAACAUAUUGUGAAGCGAAGCUAACAUAUUAGAAACAAACAAACAACAACAUGAGAGCAAGUAAGGACCCGUAGCAACGCACGGGCACUUCUGUUGCUAGUACCUUUUAAUACUAGGAUUGCUACGAGCAACAAAACAUUUAUAUUAUUACAGAAAACGUAGUACAAUUAUGGGAAAAUAUAAAACCAAAUCACUGGUGGAGAUUAAGUACUCUAUAGUAGCCAAAAUCUAUUUGAAUCUACAUCGCGGGCUUACCUUUUAAUCCAGCACACAUUCACC
rnacentral:lncRNA from 1 species